rnacentral:rRNA from 1 species
UACGGAGGGGGCUAGCGUUAUUCGGAAUUACUGGGCGUAAAGCGCACGUAGGCGGAUCUGUAAGUCAGAGGUGAAAUCCCAGGGCUCAACCUUGGAACUGCCUUUGAAACUGCGGGUCUUGAAUUCGAGAGAGGUGAGUGGAAUUCCGCGUGUAGCGGUGAAAUGCGUAGAUAUGCGGAGGAACACCAGUGGCGAAGGCAGCUCACUGGCUCGAUACUGACGCUGAGGUGCGAAAGCGUGGGUAGCAAACAGG